rfam:Ornithorhynchus anatinus chromosome 4, whole genome shotgun sequence.
GCCCUCUCAGGAUCACACCUGGAGAGUUUCCAGUACUCUUUCAGUCUUGGCUAUGGGAAGGAAAGUCAAGCAGAGACUUACCCAUUCCAUUUCUAGCUUGGGCAGUGGCUAUUGAAUGGAAGACAAUCUGCUACAAAU